UACGAAGGGGGCUAGCGUUGCUCGGAAUCACUGGGCGUAAAGCGCACGUAGGCGGAUUGCUAAGUCAGGGGUGAAAUCCUGGAGCUCAACUCCAGAACUGCCUUUGAUACUGGCGAUCUCGAGUCCGGGAGAGGUGAGUGGAACUGCGAGUGUAGAGGUGAAAUUCGUAGAUAUUCGCAAGAACACCGGUGGCGAAGGCGGCGACCUGGUCCGAUACUGACGCUGAGGCGCGAAAGCGUGGGGAGCAAACAGG
rnacentral:rRNA from 1 species